GGUGAACGCUGGCGGCGUGCUUAAGACAUGCAAGUCGAACGGCAGUCUUCGGACUGUAGUGGCGCACGGGUGAGUAACGCGUAACUGACCUACCCCAAAGUCGCGGAUAACGAUUCGAAAGAAUCGCUAAUACGUGAUGUGCUGUCAGAUUGUGUUCUGCCAGUAAAGAUUGAUUGCUUUGGGAUGGGGUUGCGUUCCAUCAGCUAGUUGGUGGGGUAAAGGCCCACCAAGGCGACGACGGAUAGCCGGCCUGAGAGGGUGGCCGGCCACAGGGGCACUGAGACACGGGUCCCACUCCUACGGGAGGCAGCAGUUAGGAAUCUUCCACAAUGGGCGAAAGCCUGAUGGAGCGACGCCGCGUGAGGGAUGAAGGUCUUCGGAUCGUAAACCUCUGAAUCAGGGACGAAAGACACUUCGGUGGGAUGACGGUACCUGGGUAAUAGCACCGGCUAACUCCGUGCAGCCGCCGCCGUAAAAC
rnacentral:rRNA from 1 species